rnacentral:rRNA from 1 species
AUUGAACGCUGGCGGCAUGCCUUACACAUGCAAGUCGAACGGCAGCACGGGUUCUUGCUCCUGGUGGCGAGUGGCGAACGGGUGAGUAAUACAUCGGUACACGUCCUGCUGUGGGGGAUAGCCCGGCGAAAGCCGGAUUAAUACCGCAUACGAUCUACGGAUGAAAGCGGGGGACCUUCGGGCCUCGCGCUAUAGGGUUGGCCCAUGGCUGAUUAGAUGGUUGGUGGGGUACAGGCCUAGCAAGGCGACGAUCGGUAGCCGGUCUGAGAGGACGGCCAGCAACCCUCGAAGUUGGCCACGGCCCAGGCUCUUGAGGAAGGGAGCAGUGUGAAAUUUUGUGCAACGGGCGAAAACGUGAUCCAGCAAUGCGACGUGUGUGUUGAAGGCCUUAGGGUUGUAAAGCACGUUUGUCCGAAAAGAAGUCCUUGGCCCUAAGACGGUCAGGGGGUGACGGUACCGGAAGAAAAAGCACCGGCUAACUACGUG